AUUUAUAUCCCUCCGUCUCAAAAUUCUUGUCUUAAAUUUGUCUAGAUACGAAUGUAGUUAUAUAUUCGUAUCUAGACAAAUCUAAGACAAGAAUUUUGGGACGGGGGUAUGUCAGC
rnacentral:pre_miRNA from 1 species